UUCUGCUGGAAAUUAAAACUUGACCAAACUGCAAAAAAAUAAACAAAUAAUUAAAUCCAGCAACAAAACAUUGCAUAUUGCAAAAUUCACAAAAAAACUUCAGUGGAUUUCACUAAUUACAGAGUAUUUUGUCAAGUUACGUGACCUGACCCAAAUUCAAGGUUCUACUGAGAUUUGAACUCAGAUCACUGGAUUCAAAGUCCAGAGUGCUAACCAUUACACCAUAGAACCAUGACUUUCUGCUGGAAAUUAAAACUUGACCAAAAAGCAAAAAAAUAAAUA